GUUAUAUGGUCAAGUGAAGAAGCGCAUACGGUGGAUGCCUUGGCAGUCAGAGGCGAUGAAAGACGUGGUAGCCUGCGAAAAGCUUCGGGGAGUCGGCAAACAGACUGUGAUCCGGAGAUGUCUGAAUGGGGGAACCCAGCCAUCAUAAGAUGGUUAUCUUGUACUGAAUACAUAGGUGCAAGAGGCGAACCAGGGGAACUGAAACAUCUAAGUACCCUGAGGAAAAGAAAUCAACCGAGAUUCCCUUAGUAGUGGCGAGCGAACGGGGACCAGCCCUUAAGUUGUAUUGAGAUUAGCGGAACGUUCUGGAAAGGACGGCCAUAGUGGGUGAUAGCCCUGUACGCGAAAAUCCCUUUGCAAUGAAAUCGAGUAGGACGGGGCACGAGAAACCUUGUCUGAAUAUGGGGGGACCAUCCUCCAAGGCUAAAUACUACUGACUGACCGAUAGUGAACCAGUACCGUGAGGGAAAGGCGAAAAGAACCGCGGAGAGCGGAGUGAAAUAGAUCCUGAAACCGUAUGCGUACAAGCAGUGGGAGCCCACUUUGUUGGGUGACUGCGUACCUUUUGUAUAAUGGGUCAGCGACUUAUUUUCAGUGGCGAGCUUAACCGAAUAGGGGAGGCGUAGCGAAAGCGAGUCUUAAUAGGGCGUCUAGUCGCUGGGAAUAGACCCGAAACCGGGCGAUCUAUCCAUGGGCAGGUUGAAGGUUGGGUAACACUAACUGGAGGACCGAACCGACUACCGUUGAAAAGUUAGCGGAUGACCUGUGGAUCGGAGUGAAAGGCUAAUCAAGCUCGGAGAUAGCUGGUUCUCCUCGAAAGCUAUUUAGGUAGCGCCUCAUGUAUCACUGUAGGGGGUAGAGCACUGUUUCGGCUAGGGGGUCAUCCCGACUUACCAAACCGAUGCAAACUCCGAAUACCUACAAGUGCCGAGCAUGGGAGACACACGGCGGGUGCUAACGUCCGUCGUGAAAAGGGAAACAACCCAGACCGUCAGCUAAGGUCCCAAAGUCAUGGUUAAGUGGGAAACGAUGUGGGAAGGCUUAGACAGCUAGGAGGUUGGCUUAGAAGCAGCCACCCUUUAAAGAAAGCGUAAUAGCUCACUAGUCGAGUCGGCCUGCGCGGAAGAUGUAACGGGGCUCAAACCAUGCACCGAAGCUACGGGUAUCAUCUUAGGAUGAUGCGGUAGAGGAGCGUUCUGUAAGCCUGUGAAGGUGAGUUGAGAAGCUUGCUGGAGGUAUCAGAAGUGCGAAUGCUGACAUGAGUAACGACAAUGGGUGUGAAAAACACCCACGCCGAAAGACCAAGGUUUCCUGCGCAACGUUAAUCGACGCAGGGUUAGUCGGUCCCUAAGGCGAGGCUGAAAAGCGUAGUCGAUGGAAAACAGGUUAAUAUUCCUGUACUUCUGGUUAUUGCGAUGGAGGGACGGAGAAGGCUAGGCCAGCCUGGCGUUGGUUGUCCAGGUUUAAGGUGGUAGGCUGAGAUCUUAGGUAAAUCCGGGAUCUUAAGGCCGAGAGCUGAUGACGAGUGUUCUUUUAGAACACGAAGUGGUUGAUGCCAUGCUUCCAAGAAAAGCUUCUAAGCUUCAGGUAACCAGGAACCGUACCCCAAACCGACACAGGUGGUUGGGUAGAGAAUACCAAGGCGCUUGAGAGAACUCGGGUGAAGGAACUAGGCAAAAUGGCACCGUAACUUCGGGAGAAGGUGCGCCGGUGGAGGUGAAGCAUUUACUGCGUAAGCCCCUGCCGGUCGAAGAUACCAGGCCGCUGCGACUGUUUAUUAAAAACACAGCACUCUGCAAACACGAAAGUGGACGUAUAGGGUGUGACGCCUGCCCGGUGCCGGAAGGUUAAUUGAUGGGGUUAGCGCAAGCGACGCUCUUGAUCGAAGCCCCGGUAAACGGCGGCCGUAACUAUAACGGUCCUAAGGUAGCGAAAUUCCUUGUCGGGUAAGUUCCGACCUGCACGAAUGGCGUAACGAUGGCGGCGCUGUCUCCACCCGAGACUCAGUGAAAUUGAAAUCGCUGUGAAGAUGCAGUGUAUCCGCGGCUAGACGGAAAGACCCCGUGAACCUUUACUAUAGCUUUGCACUGGACUUUGAAUUUGCUUGUGUAGGAUAGGUGGGAGGCUUUGAAGCGUGGACGCCAGUCUGCGUGGAGCCAACCUUGAAAUACCACCCUGGCAACUUUGAGGUUCUAACUCAGGUCCGUUAUCCGGAUCGAGGACAGUGUAUGGUGGGUAGUUUGACUGGGGCGGUCUCCUCCUAAAGAGUAACGGAGGAGUACGAAGGUGCGCUCAGACCGGUCGGAAAUCGGUCGUAGAGUAUAAAGGCAAAAGCGCGCUUGACUGCGAGACAGACACGUCGAGCAGGUACGAAAGUAGGUCUUAGUGAUCCGGUGGUUCUGUAUGGAAGGGCCAUCGCUCAACGGAUAAAAGGUACUCCGGGGAUAACAGGCUGAUACCGCCCAAGAGUUCAUAUCGACGGCGGUGUUUGGCACCUCGAUGUCGGCUCAUCACAUCCUGGGGCUGAAGCCGGUCCCAAGGGUAUGGCUGUUCGCCAUUUAAAGUGGUACGCGAGCUGGGUUUAGAACGUCGUGAGACAGUUCGGUCCCUAUCUGCCGUGGACGUUUGAGAUUUGAGAGGGGCUGCUCCUAGUACGAGAGGACCGGAGUGGACGAACCUCUGGUGUUCCGGUUGUCACGCCAGUGGCAUUGCCGGGUAGCUAUGUUCGGAAAAGAUAACCGCUGAAAGCAUCUAAGCGGGAAACUUGCCUCAAGAUGAGAUCUCACUGGAACCUUGAGUUCCCUGAAGGGCCGUCGAAGACUACGACGUUGAUAGGUUGGGUGUGUAAGCGCUGUGAGGCGUUGAGCUAACCAAUACUAAUUGCCCGUGAGGCUUGACCAUAUAACACCCAAGCAAUU
rnacentral:rRNA from 1 species